rnacentral:rRNA from 1 species
UGCGACCUACGGGGCGCAGCAGUGAGGAAUAUUGGUCAAUGGGAGGAAUCCUGAACCAGCCAUGCCGCGUGCAGGACGCCGGCUCUACGAGUUGUAAACUGCUUUUGUACCGGGGUAAAAUGCCUUACGAGUAGGGUUUUGAAAGUACGGUACGAAUAAGGAUCGGCUAACUCCGUGCCAGCAGCCGCGGUAAUACGGAGGAUCCGAGCGUUAUCCGGAUUCAUUGGGUUUAAAGGGUGCGCAGGCGGGCCUUUAAGCCGGCGGGGAAAACGCGGGGCCCAACCCCGCCGAGCC